UGGGGAAUUUUUCGCAAUGGGCGCAAGCCUGACGAAGCAACGCCGCGUGGAGGAUGAAGGCCUUCGGGUCGUAAACUCCUGUCGACUGGGACGAAAGCAGUCUGGGCUAAUAUCCCGGGCGGUUGACUGUACCGGUGGAGGAAGCCACGGCUAACUCUGUGCCAGCAGCCGCGGUAAUACAGAGGUGGCAAGCGUUGUUCGGAAUUACUGGGCGUAAAGGGCGCGUAGGCGGCUCGACAAGUCCCGCGUGAAAUCCCCCGGCUCAACUGGGGAAUUGCGCGGGAAACUGUCGGACUUGAGUUCGGGAGAGGGAAGCGGAAUUCCGGGUGUAGCGGUGAAAUGCGUAGAUAUCCGGAGGAACACCGGUGGCGAAGGCGGCUUCCUGGACCGACACUGACGCUGAGGCGCGAAAGCUAGGGGAGCAAACGGGAUUAGAUACCCCGGUAGUCCUAGCUGUAAACGAUGAGCACUUGGUGUCGGGGGUAUUGAGUCCCCUGGUGCCGGAGUUAACACGUUAAGUGCUCCGCCUGGGGAGUACGGUCGCAAGACUG
rnacentral:rRNA from 1 species